rnacentral:snRNA from 1 species
AUACCUACCUGGCAGGGGAGACACCAUGAUCCGGAAGGUGGUUCUCCCAGGGCGAGGCCCGUCCAUUGCACCGCGGGCACACUGACCCCUGCGAUUUCCCCAAAUGCGGGAAACUCAACUGCAUAAUUUCUGGUAGUGGGGACUGCGUGCGCGCUCUCCCCC